rnacentral:lncRNA from 1 species
UUUGUUUGCCUUCUCUGUUGAGUCGGAACUUUUUGGCUUUGUCAAUAGAAUAAAUCACCAUGUUCAUCAGGGGUAGCAAAGCUUCCAUAUUCUUUGGAUAAGUGUUACCUGAGCCAGGCACAUUAAAUGUAAACAAUAAUGUCCACUUAGUGUCAGGUAGCUUUAAAGGCUGACCUUCCUUUUGCAUAAUUUUUGGACCAGAGAACUGGUCUGAAAAAUGAACAAAUUCAAUCUUGUCAGAAUAGUGUGUAAGAAAGUGAACCAUGUUUGUAUCCAUCAUUCCCUCUGUGACUUCUCCCAUCUCUGACAGGAUGGCCAAAGAGUCUGGCAACCCAUAUUUUGCUCCAGACUUAGGUUUAUCACUACAAAAUUCACUCAGAUCUUGCAUCUCCUUCUGCAGUGGCACCAAAGCCUUUCAUGUGCCCACAGCAAAUACAUAUGUAUCCAUGUCUUCAUCAUUCAUGGUUACUUUUAUUUGCACUUGAUCGCUCACUGGUCUCAUCAUCUGAGCCAGGACAUUCAGUAAGUCUUAUCUCUUGAGGAAUCUCAGCUGGAUAAGCAUGCCCUCACAGCACACUCGACCAGAACACCACAGGUUAUAGAUGUGCUCAUUCUCUUGGUUCAAUUUUCCUGUGCUUGUGGCUUCUUUGUUAGUUCCAUCAUCCCCUACUAAAGUAAAGUUGUUCUCCAAAAGCUCUCUAUGAGUGUUAAACCAAGCCUGAGCAAAGCGACUAUUUUUAUUCUUCCCAAUGAUAUAGUUCAUGAUAUAAGCAAGCAGACCAGUCACCAUCAAAAUUUCCAGAUAAUAACUCUCCCAACUGUUCUGGAGGUGUGCAGGAGCAUCAACAGUUGUUAUUGGGCCCUUAUUUUUACUAGACGAAGUAUCUGGUUUGUCUUCAUAACCUUCAAAUUCUUCAUCAUCAUAUGGCUCACUCUCAGUAUCUCCUUCCUGGGUAUCUGCAUCUUCAAAAUCUCCUUCUUGGUUUUCAUCCUGCCCUUCCAACUCCACAGUGGUCUCAUCUUCAUCAUCUUCAGUCGUUAUCAACCACUGAGGAGAUUCAGUAACAGAUUCUUCCACGACAUCUUCAAAUUCAGCAAAGUCAUUAUCAUCAUAUUCUA